UCCUGAGGACAGCCUACUCAAAAUGCUGA
rnacentral:piRNA from 1 species